CGGCCCGACAGGGUCCUGGAAGGCGCUCCGUGGGUGGUGAUAGCAUUUUAUAAAAAUAAAACAGUAAAAUAGAAAGCCCCCGAGCAUCUCCCAUAGAGUAUGGCUUUGUGUUUAGGCCACUCAGUACGUGAGUGUUCCCGUGGGUACUGGGUCAAGAUGUCAAACCUGUUUCUUACCCCAAGUGCCAAACUAAAGAAGGGAAACCCCUGGGGACAAGAGCUUAACCCACGGCGCGGACUAGGCAUCUGACUGCCCUCGUCUUGCAGAGGAGGACUUGAGACCCAGCACGGACCGACCGUGGCUGCAGGCCGGAGAGGCAGCUCCUGCUGCGCAUGAGACAUCCUGCUCCCACCAGCACCCAGCGACAUCCAGGACCAGGGAGCCGCGGCUUUGAGGAAAGGGAACAGGAAGGAAGCAGAAGAGGAGGUGGAAAGUCUUGAGAAUGUACCUGCCGAGGCUUACCUGGGGAGUGAAGUGGUCCCUGAUACAGACAGGUGUGAAUAUGUGGACACGGGACGCUGUCCUGGGUUCCAUCACAGUCCGGCAGGUCCUGCUGCAGGAAGGACCCUUCACUGCAGAACAUCAUUGUGCCUCUGAUGUCCACCUGAGCAAGAAUGAGCCUCGUGGCCAUUGGAGGUGUGGGUAUCAUUGCUUACCAGGAGCAAAACACAACAGAUGGCUGUUUUCUCGGAAGGCUCCAUCAGGCUCCGCGGCUGGGGGCUGGGAGAGAGCCUGGGGCAGGGACUGUGCCCAGGCUGCCGCCUGCCGGCCCCCAGGACCUGGCCUCUGUGCACUUCCCAAGGGGAGAACGAGAGUGAGACCGAGUCACCGAAGCCACAGCUGAGGAUGUGGAAACGGGAAAGGGGGACGUAAGGGCCCAUGCACUUGGCAGUUCUCUUUAUUUCUAAAUAAAAGAUAA